rnacentral:snoRNA from 1 species
AUAUACCUCUGACAGACCUGGAGCAGUUAAUGUCUGUUGCUAAGAUUUCCACUACAGAUGCAAGAAAAAGAAGGUUCUUCUUGUGCUUUCUGUCUGUCUGGUUGUGGCAGCCAAGAUUGAGUGGGAGAAUACAGAA